UACGAAGGGUGCAAGCGUUAAUCGGAAUUACUGGGCGUAAAGGGUGCGUAGGCGGUUCGUUAAGUCUGUCGUGAAAUCCCCGGGCUCAACCUGGGAAUGGCGAUGGAUACUGGCGAGCUAGAGUGUGUCAGAGGAUGGUGGAAUUCCCGGUGUAGCGGUGAAAUGCGUAGAGAUCGGGAGGAACAUCAGUGGCGAAGGCGGCCAUCUGGGACAACACUGACGCUGAAGCACGAAAGCUAGGGGAGCAAACGGG
rnacentral:rRNA from 1 species